GUGGGGAAUUUUGGACAAUGGGCGCAAGCCUGAUCCAGCAAUGCCGCGUGCAGGAAGAAGGCCUUCGGGUUGUAAACUGCUUUUGUACGGAACGAAACGGUCCGGGUUAAUACCCUGGGCUAAUGACGGUACCGUAAGAAUAAGCACCGGCUAACUACGUGCCAGCAGCCGCGGUAAUACGUAGGGUGCAAGCGUUAAUCGGAAUUACUGGGCGGAAAGCGUGCGCAGGCGGUUUUGUAAGACAGGCGUGAAAUCCCCGGGCUUAACCUGGGAAUUGCGCUUGUGACUGCAAGGCUGGAGUGCGGCAGAGGGGGAUGGAAUUCCGCGUGUAGCAGUGAAAUGCGUAGAUAUGCGGAGGAACACCGAUGGCGAAGGCAAUCCCCUGGGCCUGCACUGACGCUCAUGCACGAAAGCGUGGGGAGCAAACAGGAUUAGAAACCCCAGUAGUCC
rnacentral:rRNA from 1 species